GGGGGGACCAUCCUCCAAGGCUAAAUACUCCUGACUGACCGAUAGUGAACCAGUACCGUGAGGGAAAGGCGAAAAGAACCCCGGCGAGGGGAGUGAAACAGAACCUGAAACCGUGUACGUACAAGCAGUGGGAGCCUUCUUUAUGGGGGUGACUGCGUACCUUUUGUAUAAUGGGUCAGCGACUUAUAUUCUGUAGCAAGGUUAACCGUAUAGGGGAGCCGCAGGGAAACCGAGUCUUAACUGGGCGUUAAGUUGCAGGGUAUAGACCCGAAACCCGGUGAUCUAGCCAUGGGCAGGUUGAAGGUUGGGUAACACUAACUGGAGGACCGAACCGACUAAUGUUGAAAAAUUAGCGGAUGACCUGUGGCUGGGGGUGAAAGGCCAAUCAAACCGGGAGAUAGCUGGUUCUCCCCGAAAGCUAUUUAGGUAGCGCCUCGUGAACUCAUCUUCGGGGGUAGAGCACUGUUUCGGCUAGGGGGCCAUCCCGGCUUACCAACCCGAUGCAAACUGCGAAUACCGAAGAAUGUUAUCACGGGAGACACACGGCGGGUGCUAACGUCCGUCGUGAAGAGGGAAACAACCCAGACCGCCAGCUAAGGUCCCAAAGUCAUGGUUAAGUGGGAAACGAUGUGGGAAGGCACAGACAGCCAGGAUGUUGGCUUAGAAGCAGCCAUCAUUUAAAGAAAGCGUAAUAGCUCACUGGUCGAGUCGGCCUGCGCGGAAGAUGUAACGGGGCUAAACCAUGCACCGAAGCUGCGGCAGCGACACUAUGUGUUGUUGGGUAGGGGAGCGUUCUGUAAGCCGUCGAAGGUGUGCUGUGAGGCAUGCUGGAGGUAUCAGAAGUGCGAAUGCUGACAUAAGUAACGAUAAAGCGGGUGAAAAGCCCGCUCGCCGGAAGACCAAGGGUUCCUGUUCAACGUUAAUCGGAGCAGGGUGAGUCGACCCCUAAGGCGAGGCCGAAAGGCGUAGUCGAUGGGAAACAGGUUAAUAUUCCUGUACUUGGUGUUACUGCGAAGGGGGG
rnacentral:rRNA from 1 species